AUGAAUAUCAUAGCUUGGAACUGCCGGGGAGGGAGGAAUCACCGGACAAUUCGUGAGGUCUUGGCCCUCUCUAAAGCCAAUUCCCCAAAACUUGUCUUCCUCUCUGAGACAAGGCAAAAUUAUGUUAAGAUGGAGAAGUUGAGAUGGAAACUUGGACUAAAAGGCUUAUGUGGUGAUUGUGGCAAUGGACGGAGUAGUGGCUUGGCUCUCUUCUGGGACGAAUCAUUAAUGGUCUUGGUGCUUGAUUCAUGCUCGAGAUAUAUUGAUGUGGUGGUGAUAGAUGGAGGCACAUGUGUGUCGUGGAGGGGCACAUUUGUUUACAGUGAACCCAGAGUGGAGAAUCGACAUUUUAUGUGGCAACAUCUUGAAAGGUUGCGGGCAGUGCUAGAUGAAUCAUGGCUAGUUUGUGGAGAUUUCAAUGAAGCGAGUGGCAACACGAACAUUUUUCCUUGA
rnacentral:rRNA from 1 species